rnacentral:lncRNA from 1 species
UUCUGAGAAUCAAACAUUGAUUUGAGUUGUUUUUCUGUGGAACAAACUGAAACUACAACGACUGUGAGACUGCAAAUAAAGAACGUGAAGCAAAACGAGUAUAUAAGGCCUGGACCACCAGACGGUUGAUGACGACGCCAUCUUAGGACAGCGUUUGCCUUCUCAUCUAGAAUAAAGAAUUCUUUUUUCAUCCUCCAGUGGGGAAAUUUACUGACAUUACGGCUCAAUAAAAAGACAACAGAACCCAACACACAGGAAAAACGUGCAUGCGAACUACGCACUGAGCUACUAAAACAGGACU